rnacentral:lncRNA from 1 species
ACAAAUUGCCUAAUCAAAUAUCAACUUUUGGCACAAAUACCUUAAUCAACCAUUUUGGCGAUAAAUAGCCCAAACAUCAAUUUUUGGCAAUAAAUUGCCCAAUCAAACACCUUUUGGCAACAAAUGCCUAAAACAAAAAAUCAAUCAAUCUUUGGCAAAAAUGCCUAAAAAAUGCACGAAGCAUGCACACACUCAUGCAUGAAGCAUACCCCUUC